rnacentral:lncRNA from 1 species
GUCCAGAGUUCAAAUCCCAGCAACCACAUGGUGGCUCAAACCAUCUGUAACAAGAUCUGACGCCCUCUUCUGGAGUGUCUGAGGACAGCUACAGUGUACUUACAUAUAAUAAAUAAAUAAAUCUUUAAAAAAAAAAAAAAAAAAAAAAAAAAAAAAAAAGAGAUGUUUCCUAUGCUGGGAGACUUUGAAUAAUUUUAUGUUACUCAGAGCCAGACAAUAACAAUAUUCUGAUACCUAUCUGAAAUCCAAUUCCCAAGUUCUCUUUACCAUCUUGUCAUAUUUAUAAGGUUAUUUAUUCUCAGUCUGGUUUCAUAACAAUACUGGCUCCACAUUGCAUUCUGCUUGUGUAUUUGAGGAAGCACACCUGUUUCUUGUGUUUGUUUUCAGGCAUGGUAAAAUUACUCAGCAAGGCUCUGUGGACAUAUUUGCUAAUAAAUUGGAUCCAGUUCCUUCUUUCACUUUUGUAUUUAUAAAGCUCCCAUUACAGGAAAAUACUUUAAAAUUAGAGUUUUGAAGGAACAUCUGGGCCGUUAUUCUUAUUACUAUAGUCAAUAUUUUAUGUAUUUCUGAAUUUAUUUAUUUAUUCAUUUAUUUUGUAUGUGUGUGUGUGUAAACAUGUGCAUUUCAGGUUACAUGUGUACCACCGGGCAUGUGUGAAGGUCACAGUAUAAUUUCCAAGAGUUGGUUGUCUCUUUCUACCACGUGGGUCUCAGGGAUGACGCUCAGGUUAUCAGGCUUGACAGCAAGGGCUUUUACCAACUGAGCCAUCUCUUAGAUGUGGUAGAUUUUCAUAGACUUGGCCAGAAGCUGCAAGCGUGUUCUCUGUAUAUAGCAAAGCUAGCCAUGCAGCUUUAUGGGAGCUGGGUACAGAUCACAAGAGUAGAUAUUAACAUAUAGUAAGUCUUCCUUGAUACAAUCACCAUUACUCUUGACUGUCCUAAGAAGCUGUUGGCAUAAAUUUUCCUGCCAUCACCAGCUACCUUGGAGAGGGCUUACACAUUUUUUUCAAAAAAGUUCUAAUUUCUCCUGUCUGCAGAUCUGCUUUUGUAUUUGUAAGAGGAAAAAUGCACUUGUAAUUAUUUAUCUCCCUAAAUUGAGAUGUAUAUAUUUUUUUACCUGAUAUUUAUAAAAAGGCAGCCAUGUAGAAGUUUGCUAUAAAUAAAAAUAAGCUUUUCAAUGUUGAACGUCAUUUGUACUGCUGGCCUUAAGUUUUAAAUUGUAAGUUGGCUGUACUGGUGCACACCUGUAUAUCCAGUACUUGGAUGGUAGAGGCAGUUCUAUUCAAGGACAGUCUGAUCUAUGUGUGGUGAUCCAGAGCAGACAGGGCCACACAGUGAGAUCCUGCCUUAAGAACACAAAAAGAGGGGGCUGGAGAGCACCGACUGCUCUUCUAGAGGUCCUGAGUUCAAUUCUCAGCAACCACCUGGUGGCUUAAAACCAUCUAUAUGGGAUUUGAUGCCUUUUUCUGGUGUGUCUGAAGAGAGACAGUGCAUUCACAUACAUAAAUAAAUCUUUAAAAACACACAAAGUAGGGGCUAGAGAGAACUCAGUUGGUAAAUUGAAUUGAGAUCUCUAGAACCCAUAAAAAGCCAGCAUGGUACCUCAUACCCAUAAUUCCAGUGCCAGGAGGCAGAGACAGGAGUAUUCCUGGGGCUUGACAGUCUAGCCAAAUCAGUGAACUCCAGGUUCAGUGAAAGAGCCUGUCUCAAAACACAAGGGAAAAUGACUGAAGAAGACACCUGACGGUGACCUUUGCCUCCACAUGCACUCAUAUUCACUGCCCAAAAUAAUAAUCUUAAAUAUGAUCUACUUUAAAUAUGUAGAAAAGUAUAAAGAAUAAUGCUACUCACAUACCAUCACCCAGUUAUACAAAAUCAUUUCUUGUGUAUAUGUAUGUGUGUAAAGGCCAGAGGGCAACUUUGGGAAUCAUUCCAGGAACACUGACCAAGUUCUUUGAGGCAUGUCUCUUAUUGGCCUGGAGCUGGAGCUUAACAAUUGGUGUAGAUUGGCCAGCAAGCUUCCCCUAGGAUGCUUUUAACUGUCUUCCUAGCACUGGGAUUAUAAGCCUGAGUCAUGCCCAGCCUUUAAAAAAAAAAACAAAGAACUCUUUUAUUAAAAAGAUUUAUUUUUAGUUUAUGUUUGAGUGUUUGCCUACGUGUGUGUGUGUGUGUGUGUGUGCGUGCAUGUGCGUGUGUGUGCGUGCACACAUGCACAUGUGUCCACAGAGGCCAGAAGAGGAUAUUGAAUCAUUGAAUCACUUGGAGAAGAAAUGACAGGUAGUUAUAGGUUGCCAUUGGGUGCUGUGACCCAAACUCGGGUCUCUGGAAGAGCAACCAGUGCUCUUAGCAACUGAGCUGUUUAUUUCUCCAGCCCCUUUGCCUGGCAUUGUUAUGUUGAUUUCCGGAAUCUAACUUAAAAAUGUUGUGAAUAAUAGGUAUACAAACUUCUCUUUAAAAUAUUGCUUUCAAUUCUUUAGUGUAUAGAUCUAGAGUUAGAAUUCCUAGAUCAUGUGGUAAUUCUAUUUUUGAUGUUUUUUUCAAGAUCCUUCGUUCCAUUUUUCAUGGUGCCUGUACCAUUUUAUAUUCCUAUCAACACAGACGUUCCAAGUUCUCCACAUCCUUACCAACACUUUUUUUUCUUUUUGGUACUGGCAUCCUAACGGGUGUUGUUGAAUUCUUUUUUUAGCUUUAUCUUUUAUUGAAGUUGAGUUGUAAGUUUUAUUUUAUUUAUCUUUAAUUUUUAAAAGGUUCAUUAUGUUUUUCUGUUUGUUUAUGUGUCUGUGUCUGUGUGCUAUGAGUAUGUGGGUGGCCAUUCGGACCACAAGAGGGCGUCAGAUCCCUUGGAGCUGGAGCUGCUGGUGGUUUUGAACCACAUGAUGUGGGAACUGAAUUCUGGUUCUCUGGAAGAGUAAUAUGUGCUUUU